UCAAAGACAGAUGUCACAUUCUGCCACUGAGAAUCAACAGGUUGAGCUUUGAUAUUUGGCAUGGGGAAAAUCCUGACUCCUUUUUAUAGGAGUGAAAAAAAAUU